AGUGAACGCUGGCGGCAGGCCUAAUACAUGCAAGUCGAACGAACGCAUAGUAAGAGCUCGCCCUUAAGGGUGGCGACUGGCGGACGGGUGAGACAUACAUAGCAUUCCUAUUAUUCUUGGGGGACUACGUGGGGCCACUUACGCUACUACCGCAUAUAUCCUACGGGUUGAAUCAAGAGAUCUUGGGACUUUGCCUGACACUAUGAGACGAUGCCGGAUUAGCUAGUUGGCGGGGUAAAGGCCCACCAAGGCAACGCUCCGUAGCUGAUCUGAGAGGAUGAUCAGCCACACUGGAACUGAGACACGGUCCAGACUCCUACGGGAGGCAGCAGUGGGGAAUAUUGGACAAUGGGCGCAAGCCUGAUGCAGCCAUACCGCGUGAGUGAAGAAGGUCUUCGGAUUGUAAAGCCCUGUUAUUAGGAAAGAAAAGCAGCGUAUGAAUACCCCGCUGUUCUGACGGUACCCAAAGAAUAAGCACCGGCUAACUUCGUG
rnacentral:rRNA from 1 species